UGCAUUUCUCAUAUAAAUAUCUUGAUUUCAUAGGAGAAUCCAAAGCCAAUGUGUCCAAAGCUCUUUGUGUCGUUCUUUGCCCUCUGUAUUCUUGUUCCACUGCCAUUCGCCUCACUGUUUUAUUUUUCAAUCACUAAGGCGGAUCCAGCCACGGGCUCAGCUAUAUUCUUCUUGCUAUUUUGCUUAGCAGGUCUGGCUUAUUACGUGUGGAUCGUACAGUAUUCCUUAUUCAAGUCGAUAAAAGAAGCCGAAUUUGCCAAGUAUUGUACAUAGGAUGGAGAGUUGAAACGUCAACAAGUCAAAUCCAAGUAGAAUAAACUUUAUUCAAUGAAAUUGGCGUUUUUUACAAACAAAAUUCAUAUUUGGAAUUGCCUUGUUAGCAUUUUAAAUCAUUUAAAUUCAACAACGGAUCAAUUCUUCUAAUGACUCGUAACUAAGCACAAUUAACAGCCGUAGUUUUUAAUCAAAAUGUGGAUUAAAUUUUAUUUAGUGAAAUUUGUGUCAAGUUUCAAUCAAUACGGGUUGAAAAAUAAAUUUAAAAAAGAAAGAAAUAGUCAAUUGACCUUACUCGCAGUCUAUGAAAUACACAAAUGUUUGAGAUUAAACUUAUUGUUAGCAUAAGUUAGAAUAAUUGUUUACUAAAACUAAAUGUACUCUGUAUAAAAAACCAUAUCGAUCCAAAAAGGCAUCAUACAUUUUUCAAAGCAAUAUAAAUUCAGUGAAGAGAAAACAUUUAUCUGAGAAAUAAAAUAACGUUUGUUCAAUAAGAAA